GAACAGAUAGGUUUUGUCCUGGCCUUUUCAUUAGCUCUUAGUAAGACUACACAUGCGAGCACCCCCACCCUGGUGAAAAUCCCCUCUAGAUCACCAGAUCAAAAGAUGCAGGUAUCAAGCACGCACGAAUGCAGUUCAAAACACUUCGCUUAACCACACCCCUACCGGAAAGAGCAGUGAUAAAUCUUUAGUUAUAAAUCAAAGUUUGACUAAGUGAUACUAACGUUAAGGGUGGAUUCAUUUCAUGCCAGCCACCACAGUCAUACGAUUAACCCGAGCUAAUAGAACUCGGCAUAAAGAGUGUUUAAGGUCUACCCUCAAUAAAGCUAAACCUCAUAUAAGUUAUAAAAAACUCCAGCUGAAAUAAAAUAAACUACGAAAGUGGCUUUAAUAUCCUGAAGAUACAAUAGCAAAGACACAAACUGGGAUUAGAUACCCCACUAUGCUUAGCCCUAAACUCUAAUAGUUACAUUAACAAAACCAUUUGCCAGAGUACUACAGCAGCUUAAAACUCAAAGAACUUGGCGGUGCUUUAUAUCCCUCUAGAGGAGCCUGUUCUAUAAUUGAUAAACCCCAAUACACCUCACCACCUGUUGCCCCCAGCCUUAUACCGCUAUCUUCAGUGAACCCUUAAAAGGCUAUAGAGUAAGCACAAGUACCCACAUAAAAACCGUAGGUCAAAGUGUAGCCCAUGAGGUGGCAAAAAAUGGGCUACAUUUUCUAUGUCCAGAAAAUCUCAUGACAACCCUUAUGAAAUCUAAGGGCUCAAGGAGGAUUUAACCAUAAACCAAAAGCAGAGCGCUUGGAUAAAUAAGGCUGUGAAGCACGCACACACCUCCCAUCACCCUCCUCAAAUAUUACUCUAGAAAUCACUAUUACUAAUAACUUUCUACAUGCAUACAGAAGAGCUAAGUUGUAACAUGGUAAGCGUACUGGAAAGUGCAAUUGGACAAACCAAAAU
rfam:Chlorocebus sabaeus isolate 1994-021 chromosome 10, whole genome shotgun sequence.